rnacentral:rRNA from 1 species
GACGAACGCUGGCGGCGUGCUUAACACAUGCAAGUCGAACGGAAAGGCCCUGCUUUUGUGGGGUGCUCGAGUGGCGAACGGGUGAGUAACACGUGAGUAACCUGCCCUUGACUUUGGGAUAACUUCAGGAAACUGGGGCUAAUACCGGAUAGGAGCUCCUGCUGCAUGGUGGGGGUUGGAAAGUUUCGGCGGUUGGGGAUGGACUCGCGGCUUAUCAGCUUGUUGGUGGGGUAGUGGUUUACCAAGGCUUUGACGGGUAGCCGGCAUGAGAGGGUGACCGGCGACAUUGGGACUGAGGGACGGCGCAGACGCGUACGGGAGGCAGCAGGGGAGAAUAUUGCACAAUGGGCGGAAGCCUGAGGCAACGACGCCGCGUGCGGGAUGACGGCCUUCGGGGUAUAAACCGCUUUCGCCUGUGACGAAGAGUGAGUGACGGUAAUGGAUAAAGAAGCACCGGCUAACUACGUG